GACGAACGCUGGCGGCGUGCUUAACACAUGCAAGUCGAACGGAAAGGCCCUGCUUUUGUGGGGUGCUCGAGUGGCGAACGGGUGAGUAACACGUGAGUAACCUGCCCUUGACUUUGGGAUAACUUCAGGAAACUGGGGCUAAUACCGGAUAGGAGCUCCUGCUGCAUGGUGGGGGUUGGAAAGUUUCGGCGGUUGGGGAUGGACUCGCGGCUUAUCAGCUUGUUGGUGGGGUAGUGGCUUACCAAGGCUUUGACGGGUAGCCGGCCUGAGAGGGUGGCCGGCCACAUUGGGACUGAGAUACGGCCCAGACUCCUACGGGAGGCAGCAGUGGGGAAUAUUGCACAAUGGGCGGACGCCUGAUGUAGCAACGCCGCGUGCGGGAUGACGGCCUUCGGGUUGUAAACCGCUUUCGCCUGUGACGAAGCGUGAGUGACGGUAAUGGGUAAAGAAGCACCGGCUAACUACGUG
rnacentral:rRNA from 1 species